rnacentral:tRNA from 1 species
UCCUAGAUGGUAGGGAAUCUGCCUGCUAUGCAGGAGACCAGGGUUCAAGCCCUG